rnacentral:lncRNA from 1 species
GCCGAUGAUCGCACGGCUGUCACCGCAGUUGGCGACGACGAGGUGGCGAGGGCCGACCACGGCGACGACGGCCAUGGAGCCGACGUGGUCGCACUUGGGCAGUUGUAGCUCGCACCGGCAGGUGGGCGCUCCGCUGGCCCUUGACCUUGAGCUCACGGCCUCGGCGUCCAUCCGCGCGAAGCUCCGCUCCAUGACACCCAUCCACCGCUCCGCAUCGUCCGACCUCGUGUCAGGACCAGAGCACUGAAUCUAUGCAAUUUAGCUCGCAAACAACGAAUUUAGGGACGAAACAGAGAGCUUCGAACUAGGGUUCUUGUUGAGAAUUUGGGGAAAGUAGGUACAGCACGCCACCGGCGGUAGGGUUUACACCCAAUACACAAAGGCAUGCCCUCUCACACGCAGGGUUGCUGGCUUUAUAGCCAUUACAAGUUGGGAAAAGGUGAAAGAAAGCAAAACAGAGCACAUGCGCUUGUCGGAGCCGCUACAGCUAAUCACUAGCAUCAUCAACCCUUGGAUGGCUGAUCGACGAAGGAGAGCUACCCACUUGAUCGAACCGUUAUCUUCGCUCCAGAGCCACACGAUGAUAGAUCUACGGUUGCGGUAACUUCCGGUACGCGGGAACAGGGGAAUGAUAAGAACAUAGCCUGACAAUACCCCCCAAUUGAGACCGAGCUUGUCCUCAAGCUCUGAAAGAUGGAGAAACCUUCUGGAUGAAUGCAGAGUCUUCCCAAGUAGCUUCCUCCACGGGCAUAUUGGUCCACUUGACUAACCACCUGACGACAGGAAUACUGAUGUUUCCUUGCUUUCUUGGAAUGAGCGUUCUUUCCAGCACUGCUUCAGGCUCCACUUUGAUAAUACCAUCAGGGCCAACCAGUGGUAGCAUAGGGGAAGGGAUGACUAUUGGCCCAAUGUGCUUCUUCAGUUGGCUGACAUGAAAUGUGUCAUGCAGCUGGCAGGCCUCUGGUAACAGUAAUUUGUAGGCAUGGUUUCCAACUCUUUCCAUUACUCUGAAUGGGCCAUAAAACUUAGAGUGCAGCUUCAUGUGCCGAUGCAAACUGAGAGAAGUGUGCAUGUAAGGUUGCAACUUAAAAUUGACCAUGUCCCCCACUACAAAUUCUCUUUCCUUCCUCUUCUUAUCAGCAAAGAACUUCAUUCUAGAUUGGGCUUUAAGCAUAUUUUGUUUGAUUACUUCCAGUGCCAAUUCCCUAUUAUGCAACAAAUCCUCAUUAUCCUCACAAAUUGCAUCAGGCAGAGCAGAUUCAGCAAUCAUAGGGGGAGGAAACCCAUAUAGAGCCUGAAAGGGUGUCAUUUUUAAUGAUGUGUGGAAGGAAGUGUUGUACCACCACUCAGCUAGUGCCAACCACCCAUGCCACUUCCUUGGUUGUUGGAAACGCAUACAUCUCAAGUAGUUCUCCAAACAUUGAUUAACUCUUUUUGUUUGACCAUCAGUUUGAGGGUGGUAACUGGUGCUCAAGUGUAACUUGAUCUUCAGUGACUUAAACAGUUGCUGCCACAGAUGACUAGUAAAAAUUCUGUCUCUAUCAGUGACAAUCACCAAUGGCAUCCCAUGUAACCUGAACACAUUAUCAGAAAAUGCUCUUGCAACAGAUUGCACUGUAAUGGGAUGUUUCAUAGCAAUGAAAUGAGAAUACUUGGUGAAUCUGUCAACCACUACCAAAAUCAAGUUCUUGUGUUCAAACUUAGGUAGCCCCUCCACAGAAUCCAUGCUCACAUGUGCCCAAGCAAAAUCUGGCACAGGAAGUGGCUCCAAUAAUCUAGGGUAAGGAGUGUGCUCAGCUUUGUUCAACUCGCAAACAGGACACUGCUUGACAAACUGCACCACAUCUUGCUUUAAGCCCUGCCAGUGAAAAAUUGAUUUCACUCUCUGGUAAGUAGCUCUUUCACCAGAAUGGCCGCCCAACUCUGAACUAUGGAAUGUUUGGAGGAUUUUCUGUCUUAGGUUAGUAGCAGAACCCACUACAAUCUUGUUAUGAAAUCUCAAUAUUCCAUUCUUGAACGAAUAAGCAGUGGUAUUAUUUUUAUCCACAGUACAUUCAGCUAUGAGCUCCUUGAUCUUACUAUCCUAAUGAUAGCUUCCUACGACUUCCUUGACCCAAGCAGGAUAAGCAGCAGUUGCAGUUAAUGUAUGAAUCAUGUGUUUCACUCUCGAUAAUGCAUCAGCCACCUUGUUCUCCUUUCCUUUUUUGUACUCAAUUAUAAAGUUAUACCCUAGGAACUUCAGUAACAGUUUAUGCUGAAUGCCCUUGGUAAUUUUCUGUUCCUGAAUAUAUUUCAAACUUUCUUGAUCAGUUCUGAUCACUAAGGAAGUAGCUAAGAAAUAAUGCUUCCACUUCUUAACAACUUCAAUUAUGGCCAAGGCUUCCUUGUCAUAAGUGCUCAUUGCAUCUGCUUUGGGGCUAAUGCUCUUGCUGAAAUAAGAUAUAGGUUUUCCCUCUUGCAUCAACACAGCUCCCAAUCCAUACCCACUAGCAUCAGUUUCCAAAAUGAAAGGUUUGGAGAAAUCAGGCAAUGCUAACACAGGGGUGUUGGUAAGCUUGUUUUUCAAUGUCAGAAAUGCUUCUUGUUGUUCUUCCUUCCAGGAAAAACCCUCCUUCUUUAAGCAAUCAAAUAGUGGUCUACAAAUUACUCCAUAUCCUUGGAUAAAUCUUUUGUAAUAACCACUUAGCCCCAAAAAGCUUCUCAGUUCAGUUAUAGUAGUAGGAGCUGGCCAAUCUCUAAUGGAUUGUAUCUUAGAUGGGUCAGUAGAGACUCCCUCAGAGUUAAUAACAUGACCCAAAUAUUCAAUCUCCUGCUGUCCAAAAGAGCACUUUUCCAUUUUUGCAUAUAGUUUGUUUGUUUGCAAUAUAUCAAACACCUGCUUUAAGUGGUCCUUGUGCUCUUCCAGAGAGAAACUGGACACCAAGAUAUCAUCAAAGAAAGCCACAACAAAUUUGAGAUGGACAAACAACAAGUUCAUCAAUGCCUGGAAGGAUGGAGGGCCAUUAGUUAGUCCAAAGGACAUAACUAGAAAUUCAAACAGUCCCAUGUGAGUAGUGAAUGCAGUCUUUGGUAUAUCUUCUUCUGCCAUCCUGAUUUGGUGAUAUCCAUUUCUGAGAUCAAUUUUGGAGAAUAUCUUUGCUCCUUUGAGUUGAUGCAAGAGGUCCUCAAUCACAGAAAUGGGAUAUUUAUUUUUGAUUGUUAUAGCAUUCAAUUUUCUGUAAUCAGUGCAUAACCUCCAAGAUCCAUCUUUUUUCUUGACCAGGAGCACAGGAGAAGAAAAAGGGCUUGUGCUAGGUCUGAUGAUCCCAUUUUUCAGUAGCUCAUUAAUGAUUUUCUCCAAAAUUUCCUUCUGAUGGUGAGGAAUUCUAUAAGGCCUUUGGUUAACUACCUUUGCUCCUUCCACUAAGGGAAUUAUGUGAUCACAAGGUCUACUUGGUGGCAAUUCAGUUGGCUCUUGAAACAGCUGUUCAUACUGGUCCAACAGUGGUUGCAAUUCAGUAGGGAUUUCUGGACCAGCUGCUGUAAAUUCAGUACCAGAAGUUGUGAACAAGAAAAAUCCACAAACAGCUUGUUCUAACAGUUUUUCAGUGUUGUCCUUGGUUUCAGCUACAGGAGCCAGGGGAACAGUCUCAUCCAGAAAUGUGAUAAACUGUCCAGAGCUGUCAGAAAUUUUCAUUUCCAUUUUAAUAAAGUCCAUUUGUAUUGGACUAUAUUUCCCGAGCCAAUCAACUCCCAAAAUCAUGUCAUACCCCUUCAGUUUCAACACUCUGAAGCUGUCAGUAAAGUGAUGGCCUUGUAUUUCAUAAGGGCAAUCUUUUGCUUGAAAUUCAGUCCAUAGCACUCCCCCACUAGCAACCACCACCUUUAUCUUGGAUGUAGGGCUUGUAGUGAUAGGUAACUUGGUUGCCAUUUCAGGAGAAAUGAAGGUAGAAGUGCUACCACUAUCCACCAGUGCUGUGGCAACUGUAUUUCCUACUUUUACAGUCAAAAUAAAAGUAUUUUUGGUUGAUCCUAUGCCCAUAGCAGCAUGCAUUGACACUCUUAACACUGCUUCACUAGAUAACUGCUCCUGUGUUUCCAAAUCAGGGUCAUCAAAGUCUGUGACAAAUAUUGUUUCAGGGUUUUCAACUUCCUGAGCUUGUAAUGCUUGGAUCUGAGCUCUCUGGCUCAUUUUACAGACCUGCCUGUGACCUGGCACCCAUGGCUCUUUGCACUUGUAACAUACUUGGUUUUGUUUUGCCUGCUGAAUAACAGUAUUUCUGUUUGGUGUGGCAGUAGGUACAGGAGUUUUGGGCUGAUCAAAUAUUACUUGCCUUCUCGGUUGAGGAAUAUAUGGUUUAGUUUGCACUGCUGUAGUUGGUACUUGAGCUUUUUCCAUUCUCCUAGCAUAGCACACUGCAGUUUGCAUAUCCUUAGGCCUGAAGCACUCCACAUGAGUCUUAAUAUAUGGGUUAAGUCCUGCCACAAAACUGGAAACAUAGUAAUCAUCAGGGAUUCCAGGGUUUUCCCUUCUCAUGAUGUUCAUUAGUUGCUCAAACUGCUCCAUAUAUGCAGUGACUGUAGUAGUUUGUUGUGCUGCAUGGAAAGAGCUGACAAUGUCACAAACAGAGUCCACAGAAAAUCUAUCAGAAAUGUAAGAGCAAAAUUUGUGCCAUGGAACAUUGCUAGGAGCAAAUCCUGUUCCUCUCCACCACUGUACAACAGGCCCUUUGAGGUAAGAGAUGGCCAGUUCAGUUCUGUGCUCAAUAGGAGUUUUGGAUGCAGCAAAAUACUGCUCUAAAUUCUGAAUCCAAGACUCUGGGUCUUGACCUUCAAAUUCAGAGAUAUUUAACUUUGCCGGCUUUACAGUUAGUACAUUUCUUCUUCCAUCAACAGGGAAAUUGGGCCCUCUUCUAUACUGUGGAUCAAUGACCUCUUCCUCCUGCCUUUCCUCCAUUUGCCCCACAAUGUUUGGUGUUGUUUCUUUUCCUUGACCAAAAUUUGGAUGUCUGUAAGGUACUUUCAGAGUUCCAUCCAAAUUGAGCUCUUUUCCAGUGUGAUCAUGCAGAGUUGCAUUUCCCACUAGCAAAGGGGCUCCUUUCUCUGGCAUUGUUACUAACGGAGGAGUCGGAGCUUGGAGUUGUUUGGGUCGUCCAGGAGAUAUUUGUGGAGAGUGAUUGUGGUUGUCCUUGACUUGGACACUGCCCUGACCUUCCUCUCUUUCCUCUACAGUAAUUGGCUCCGGAUCCAAUAGUAAAUGCCUGAAAUUGUCUUGGAUUUUGUCAAAAUUCUUCUGCAUCGUAGCAAAGUUUCCGUUCACUGUCGCCUGGAACUGCUGAAAUUCUUUGCGAUCUUCUUCUCUGUCGCGCUGCCGCGUCUUGAUGUCCAACUCCAAUGACUCAAGCUGCAACUCAGCAGUUGUGCCCGAAUCGGCUUGACCUGUCAUCUUGUCUGCUUUAGGAAUUCACACCAGUGGUCAGGAGGGAGGGAAUUUCUCGUCGUCGCCGCCUACGCUGCCGCUGGUACACGGUCAGAUCGCAAGAGCUGGGGUUUUACCACCAGAGAAUUACUCUCCGGCAACGAGGCUGCAAUUUCGACUGUACCCGAACUCUGCCACUCCGGCCGCCUCCUGAAUACUCCACCGCCCGACUCGAGCGUGAAGAGGGAUUUUACGGCCUACGACCAACCCCAACACCGCUCAAAUCAAAUCGCCUCCGAGGAAAGGCUGGCGUCUGAUACCAAUUGUCAGGACCAGAGCACUGAUCUACGCAAUUUAGCUCACAAACAAUGAAUUUAGGGACGAAACAGAGAGCUUCGAACUAGGGUUCUUGUUGAGAAUUUGGGGAAAGUAGGUACAGCACGCCACCGGCG